AAUGAACGCUGGCGGUAGGCCUAACACAUGCAAGUCGAACGAAGCCUUCGGGCUUAGUGGCGGACGGGUGAGUAACACGUGGGAACGUACCUUUUGGUUCGGAACAACUCAGGGAAACUUGAGCUAAUACCGGAUGAGCCCUUAGGGGGAAAGAUUUAUCGCCGAAAGAGCGGCCCGCGUUAGAUUAGCUAGUUGGUGAGGUAAAGGCUCACCAAGGCUACGAUCUAUAGCUGGUCUGAGAGGAUGAUCAGCCACACUGGGACUGAGACACGGCCCAGACUCCUACGGGAGGCAGCAGUGGGGAAUCUUGCGCAAUGGGCGAAAGCCUGACGCAGCCAUGCCGCGUGAAUGAUGAAGGUCUUAGGAUUGUAAAAUUCUUUUACCAGGGACGAUAAUGACGGUACCUGGAGAAAAAGCCCCGGCUAACUACGUGCCAGCCGCCGCAGUAAGAC
rnacentral:rRNA from 1 species